UUGCAGUCUUGUUGGAACAGGGUGGCCGUCCACUAACUAUCCACUACUCCAUCCAUCUGGACCAUCCAGGGUUGCACGGCACUCAUCAGUGAACAGGACUGUUUGAAAAUUAGUCUUCGUGUAUUUUUCUGCCCAAUGCAGCCGUUUCUGCUUGUGAGCAUUGGUUAGUGGUGGCGGAAUAGAAGGCUUAUGCACUGUUGC